CCUACGGGGGCCAGCAGUGGGAAUAUUGCACAAUGGGCGCAAGCCUGAUGCAGCCAUGCCGCGUGUGUGAAGAAGGCCUUCGGGUUGUAAAGCACUUUCAGCGGGGAGGAAGGCGAUAAGGUUAAUAACCUUGUCGAUUGACGUUACCCGCAGAAGAAGCACCGGCUAACUCCGUGCCAGCAGCCGCGGUAAUACGGAGGGUGCAAGCGUUAAUCGGAAUUACUGGGCGUAAAGCGCACGCAGGCGGUCUGUCAAGUCGGAUGUGAAAUCCCCGGGCUCAACCUGGGAACUGCAUUCGAAACUGGCAGGCUAGAGUCUUGUAGAGGGGGGUAGAAUUCCAGGUGUAGCGGUGAAAUGCGCAGAGAUCUGGAGGAAUACCGGUGGCGAAGGCGGCCCCCUGGACAAAGACUGACGCUCAGGUGCGAAAGCGUGGGGAGCAAACAGGAUUAGAUACCCGAGUAGUC
rnacentral:rRNA from 1 species